rnacentral:lncRNA from 1 species
UCUUACUAGUUUCAGACUUCUAGCAGCUGGAGCAAGAUAUGUUCAUUUUAUAUGAGCAGUUCUAAUUCUAAAUGAAUGGAAUGUGGAUCAGUGUUUCCAUAUUAAGAGCUGGUUCUGCUACAGCUCAUCUUUUCCAUCAAUAAUAGAUGGCUGUCACUCCUGGGAGCAGAGGAAACAACAGGGAAAUGAAAUGAAACUGCACAGUAUCAUGGACUGGACUCUGCUUUGUUUGACAAUUUGAUCACAUAUUUAAUUGUGUCACAGUGUCUGUAUAAGAUUCGGCAAAAACAGAAAUGUUCUUGCAGAACAUAUUCACAGAAUCACUUUAUGAUGGAAGAUGAUGUCAUGCGAAAUUUUUUCUGCAGCUCCAUGAAUGUAACAUG